AACGAACGUUAGCGGCGCGCCUAACACAUGCAAGUCGAACGAGAAGGGGAUUCGUCCCUGGUAAAGUGGCGCACGGGUGAGUAACACGUAGGUAAUCUGCCUUUGAGUGGUGGAUAACCCUCCGAAAGGAGGGCUAAUACAGCAUGAGACCACGGCUUCGAAAGGAGCUGAGGCAAAAGCGGGCCUCUUCACGAAAGCCCGCGCUCGAAGAUGAGCCUGCGGCCCAUCAGCAGUUGGCGAGGUAAUGGCUCACCAAGGCUAAGACGGGUAGCUGGUCUGAGAGGAUGAACA
rnacentral:rRNA from 1 species